GGUAAGAUGUUGGUCGUGAAUUUUUGGUUGUAGCCACGCAUAGGUCCAGCAUUUGAUACCAAGAAUUUAGGACAUGGAUUAGUUGUUUCCUUAAAUUACAAUAGGAGAUUUUUAUUUCUACUUAAUCAGGAGGAUAGCUGAAGAGGAAAGUUGAUGCUAUUGAGUUAAGAGUUUUCAAAUGAAAUUCAGCUAUAUACUGAGAUAUAUUUUCCCAAUUUUGGAGUGUUUGUAUUUUGAAGAUAUUAAAAUUACUUUCAUCUAUUAAACUUAUCCAUUUAAUUCCUUCAAAUAUGAAGUAAAUUGUUGUGAAAAAUGUGCCAUCAUGCCUCAAGUUUAUGAGAUUUUUGUUAUCUGCCUUACGAUCACAAUCACAGAUUCACAGUGUGUAAAAUGAUGAACGCGAUCUGGCUCUGCUAAGUCACCAGCGUUUGCUUGACAUCACGUUCUGUGUCCGAGUAACCAGAUUCUUCAACACUCCCCAUCAAGCGAUAUUGUCUAUCAAAUAUUU
rnacentral:lncRNA from 1 species